rnacentral:rRNA from 1 species
GACGUAGGGCGCGAGCGUUGUCCGGAUUUAUUGGGCGUAAAGAGCUCGUAGGCGGCUUGUCGCGUCGACUGUGAAAACCCGCGGCUCAACCGCGGGCCUGCAGCCGAUACGGGCAGGCUGGAGUUCGGUAGGGGAGACUGGAAUUCAUGGUGUAGCAGUGAAAUGCGUAGAGAUCAUGAGGAAGACCAGUGGCGAAGGCGGGUCUCUGGACAGUUCCUGACACUGAGGCACGAAGGCCAGGGGAGCAAACGGG